AUUGAACGCUGGCGGCAGGCCUAACACAUGCAAGUCGAACGAGUGGCGGACGGGUGAGUAAUGUCUGGGAAACUGCCUGAUGGAGGGGGAUAACUACUGGAAACGGUAGCUAAUACCGCAUACCAUCAGAUGUGCCCAGAUGGGAGUAGCUAGUUGGUGGGGUAAAGGCUCACCAAGGAGACGAUCCCUAGCUGGUCUGAGAGGAUGACAAGCCACACGGGAACUGAGACACGGUCCAGAUUCCUACGGGAGGCAGCAGUGGGGAAUAGUGGACAAUGGGCGCAAGUCUGAGGGAGCGAUGCCGCGUGUUUGAAUAGGGCCUUCGGGUUGUAAAGUACUUUCAGCGGGGAGGCGUUACCCGCAGAAGAAGCACCGGCUAACUCCGUGCCAGCAGCCGCGGUAAUUC
rnacentral:rRNA from 1 species